AUUGAACGCUGGCGGCAUGCCUUACACAUGCAAGUCGAACGGCAGCACGGGAGCAAUCCUGGUGGCGAGUGGCGAACGGGUGAGUAAUAUAUCGGAACGUGCCCAGUCGUGGGGAUAACGUAGCGAAAGCUACGCUAAUACCGCAUACGAUCUAUGGAUGAAAGCGGGGGAUCGCAAGACCUCGCGCGAUUGGAGCGGCCGAUAUCAGGUUAGGUAGUUGGUGAGGUAAAGGCUCACCAAGCCGACGAUCUGUAGCUGGUCUGAGAGGACGACCAGCCACACUGGGACUGAGACACGGCCCAGACUCCUACGGGAGGCAGCAGUGGGGAAUUUUGGACAAUGGGCGCAAGCCUGAUCCAGCAAUGCCGCGUGCAGGAUGAAGGCCUGGUGUAAC
rnacentral:rRNA from 1 species